UGCCAGACUCCUACGGGAGGCAGCAGUGGGGAAUAUUGCACAAUGGGGGAAACCCUGAUGCAGCGACGCCGCGUGGGUGAGGAAGUACCCCGGUAUGUAAAGCCCUUUCGGCAGGGAAGAAAAUGACGGUACCUGGCGAAGAAGCCCCGGCUAACUACGUGCCAGCAGCCGCGGUAAUACGUAGGGGGCAAGCGUUAUCCGGAUUCACUGGGUGUAAAGGGAGCGCAGGCGGUACGGCGAGUCUGAUGUGAAAACCCGGGGCCCAACCCCGGGACCGCACCGGAUACUGCCGGACUCGAGUGCCGGAGGGGCAGGCGGAAUUCCUGGUGUAGCGGUGAAAUGCGUAGAUAUCAGGAGGAACACCGGCGGCGAAGGCGGCCUGCUGGACCGUAACUGACGUUGAGGCUCGAAAGCGUGGGGAGCAAACAGGAUUAGAUACCCGAGUACG
rnacentral:rRNA from 1 species